GAGCGAGCUGCUGUGUCUCCACGUGCUUCAACUUCCUCUUGCCUAAAAUGCAAACGGUGAUAACCGUACCCCCAACAAUAAGGGUGGUUGUGAAUAUCAAACAAGUUAAUACAAGCCCCAGAGUUCAAGGUGACAGACCUGCAGUCUUCCCUGCUAAAGUCCUUGAAAAUGACAAAGGAAAAGGACUGUAGCUUCUUGUCACUCAAAGCAUGAUCCAGAUCCCACAGCACGGACGUCACCUUUGAACUUGGUAGAAAUGCAGAAGCUCAGACUCCUGUCCAGACGUAUGACUCAGAACCUGCAUUUUUAACUAGAUCCCAGGCCCAGUGGAAGUACGAAGGGACACGAAGGGGCACAUUCUUCUCUCCCGCCCCCGCCAUUCCCCAGUCCUCAUUCCAGCCAGCAGGACACGUGACAAGGCUCUGUGCAGGCUUCUUGGCCAUGGUUUCUGUUUCUCUUUGUCACAGAUGAGAAAAUUGAGGCAUAGAGACGUUCAACAAUCUUCCCAAGGUCACACAGUCCGUAAGAGGAGCCGGCAUUUGAACCCAGACAAUCGAAAUCCAGAGUUCAAGCUCAUAACCAUUACACUCUUCUUAUAAAUAUGGAAAGCCAAAAAAAAAGUUUCAGAAAAAUUAUGUUUUAAAUUUUUAUUUAUUAUUUUUUAUUGAGGCGUAUCAGAAAAAUUAUUUAAAACAUUUCUAUGCAUGAAGGUCUUCAAAGUUAUUCCCGCCUGAAGUAAUCCUUUAACAUCUGGACAAAUAUCCAAGAGACAGUUGAACAUCCCAGAGGUGCUCAGUAGUUCUUUGGGCCAGGCAAUUUUUUUAGUGCAGGCUCACAGGGAGAGAAGGUAUGUGUGUACGCAAGUGCGCUUCGUCUAUGAGAACUGAAGUUGUCUAAUAUUGCUUUUAGACAUCAUCCUAAGUUUAGGUUUGCUAGAAAGAAGACAACGCUGCCCACAAUUUUAGGUGAGCAUGACUCAGCCUCCUGCUGGCUCGGGCGUCAGCAGCCCUUUUGACACACAGGCCUCUGCCUCUCACUUGAGGGUUGAGCCAGGCGUGUUUUCAUAGGUUUAGUCAUUAUUAGGAAAAUAAACCAUGCCUUCUAACUCAAAUUGGAGCUACUCUUCAGCUUCCUCACCUCUCCUAGUAACCCAAAUGGGGUUAACUUUCUCAUUAUUUGUCAAUUUCAUGCAUGUGCUAGACAAUCUACAGAGAGAGAAGAGUCAAAGAAGCAAAUACAGGAAGGUACAAAUUGUUAUUCUAGUUAACGAGCCAUUGUUUCAACAUGUCUCAGCACAAAAUAUGAUUUUCCAUCAUUACCAUUGUCUUUCCUGAGCUUCUCCUCCCCAGAUUAGCCUAGGUAACCCGUUCUCCCCUGCUUACCACAUAGUACUUCCCUUAAAGAGCACUUCUCACACUGUAUUGUAAUUUCUUGUCCGUCUGUCUUCCCUACCUACUUCAAGUUCUGUGGUGCAAAGGUCUGUGUCAGUCUUACACUGGAAUGGAGCCGGAUACAGACCCAAGUCAAUGUUGCAGAAGUCACCGGCUGCAUGAAAGUUCCCCAGCAUUGCCCUCCCCUGGUCUAAGGCAGAGCAGCUUGCAGAGGAUCAAUUACCUUCUGCUUUCUAUUCUGAUUACCCAUGUAACACUGCGAGGUCCUGGCAUGAGUGCAUGAGUGCAUGAGAGCAGGGACCAGGCCUCACUUUGCUCCCCUUGAAUACUUGGCAUCUAGCACAAUGGCCGGCUAACAGGAGAUGUUUUAAAAGCAUUUUGAAAAUCAGUGAGUGAAUUAGAUCAAUGAGAAUCCAAGUGAAGCGUUGUGGAGGAUGGGUUUUUUCUUACAUUCAUUCAUUUACUCACUCGGUGGAUUGAAUAAUUAUCCUAUAAUAGGCACUAUGUUUACGUUUAAGGGGGAAGGUAGCAAUUAUGAUUCAGAGGAAAUACUAGACCCAAUAGGCACAAUCAGAGGGGGCCCUUAACCUCAUGGAGGGCAGGAGAGGGCAGGGGGUGAGGGCAUGCUUGUCAGGAAGGUGGGUGACUUAAGGAACUGAUAUUUAGCCAGAUUGUGUGAAAAAAAGGAAAAAAAAAAAAAAAAAGCUGAAUGGAAGAGGUGAAGGGAUGGGAAUGCACAGUGAGAUUUCUAGGCCAAGGGAAGCAGUUUAUGAUGCAAAGACUCAGGGACAAGAGAGAGCAUUGUGUGUUGGAGGAACUGCAAGAAGUUGAAUAUUGCUUAGAGCACAGACAGCUGGGAGGGCGUGGCCAGAGAUGAGGCCGGAGCGGGAGGAGCCAGAUCUCAGUGGUCACGGAUGGGGGUCAGGUAGGGAGCCGGGCUUCAUCCUAUGGUCCUAACGCAAACGGAGAGCAACUGAAGGGCUGUAAGGGUAGGAUGACAUCACCAGACUUAUUUUAGGAAGUCAUUCCAGCUGGGGAAUGGAUUGGAGGGGAUGAAGGGAUUAAAAACUGGGUACAAGAGAUGAGGCGGUGGAAUUUGGGGAGUUGAAGUGUCUAGUUGGCUCAUGUUUUCAAAUAACCUGGGACAGAAUGAACCAAAUGGCAAAAGUGCAAGUAGAAUGUCAAGUUAUUCCACAUCAGCCAUUACUUUUCCUCUUCAGGCUUUUGCUGAAAGCUACGGACAGAUUAUGGAUUGGCCUGGGUGUGAGUGCAGAGGCGCAAGAGGACCUGGUCUGAAAACUCUUCUCCUGUGAGAAGAGAGUCAGUGGGAGAGAAAGCGGACCAGAGGCAAUCAACCAGAGAGAGAGCAGUGAACAACAAUGGGCCAUGUAUCACACAGAAAGAUGCUGCUAAAGACAGCCUUCCCCUGGAAUCAGCAUUCAGCAAAAACUUUAAUUAGCUCAAGGCACUCCCACCCGGUAGUAUGUUCCAGAAUCUUGGUGCGAGGACAUUUGUAAUUUGCAAAAGUAAGUUCAAUAUUACAAGAUAAUUUUAUUUUUGGAAGGCAAACAAACAAAAGGAACCUCUAUUGUUUUAUACCAUAAACUAAAGGAAAUAAAGUUAGAUAAAAUCUU